AUACUAAAUAAAUAAAAUACUAAUAGAUUGAAAUAAUACAGAGAAGAUUAACAUGGCCCCUGUGCAAGAAUGAUUUGAAAGUUCCUGAAACAUUCCGCAUUUUA